CCUGGUGGCUUAGAGGUUAAAGCGUCUGCAUGAAAUGCAGGAGACCCGGGUUUGAUCCCUGGGUCAGGA
rnacentral:tRNA from 1 species